rnacentral:rRNA from 1 species
UACGGAGGGGACUAGCGUUGCUCGGAAUUACUGGGCGUAAAGCGCACGUAGGCGGAUUUGUAAGUCAGGGGUGAAAUCCCGGGGAUCAACCUCGGAACUGCCUUUGAUACUGCAAAUCUCGAGUCCGGAAGAGGUGAGUGGAAGUCCUAGUGUAGAGGUGAAAUUCGUAGAUAUUAGGAAGAACACCAGUCGCGAAGGCGGCUCACUGGUCCGGUACUGACGCUUAGGUGCGAACGCGUGGGUAGCAAACAGG